rnacentral:pre_miRNA from 1 species
GGCUUGUUUUCAGUUGCCUGCGGUUGGUUAGAAGGACUCAGGCAGCUAAAGCAAGUCUG